AUUGAACGCUGGCGGCAUGCCUUACACAUGCAAGUCGAACGGUAACGGGCCUUCGGGUGCCGACGAGUGGCGAACGGGUGAGUAAUGUAUCGGAACGUACCUUUCAGUGGGGGAUAACGUAGCGAAAGUUACGCUAAUACCGCAUAUUCUGUGCGCAGGAAAGCAGGGGAUCGCAAGACCUUGCGCUGAUUGAGCGGCCGAUAUCAGAUUAGCUAGUUGGUGAGGUAAGGGCUCACCAAGGCGACAAUCUGUAGCGGGUCUGAGAGGAUGAUCCGCCACACUGGAACUGAGACACGGUCCAGACUCCUACGGGAGGCAGCAGUGGGGAAUUUUGGACAAUGGGGGCAACCCUGAUCCAGCCAUGCCGCGUGAGUGAAGAAGGCCUUCGGGUUGUAAAGCUCUUUCGGCCGGGAAGAAAUCGCACGGGCUAAUGCCCUGUGUGGAUGACGGUACCGGAAUAAGAAGCACCGGCUAACUACGUGCCAGCAGCCGCGGUAAAAC
rnacentral:rRNA from 1 species